rnacentral:rRNA from 1 species
UUGGAGGGCAAGUCUGGUGCCAGCAGCCGCGGUAAUUCCAGCUCCAAUAGCGUAUAUUAAAGUUGUUGCAGUUAAAAAGCUCGUAGUUGAAUUUCGGGAUCAAUAUGUCGGUCGUGCCUCGGUACGUACUGGUAUCAUUGGUUUCUCCCUUCUGAUGAACCAUGAUGCCAUUAAUUUGGUGUCGUGGGGAAUCAGGACUGUUACUUUGAAAAAAUUAGAGUGUUUAAAGCAGGCUCACGCUUGAAUACAUUAGCAUGGAAUAAUGAAAUAGGAUGUUUGAUUCUAUUUUGUUGGUUUCUAGGAUCGACGUAAUGAUUAAUAGGGAUAGUUGGGGGCAUUAGUAUUCAAUUGUCAGAGGUGAAAUUCUUGGAUUUAUUGAAGACUAACUACUGCGAAAGCAUUUGCCAAGGAUGUUUUCAUUAAUCAAGAACGAAAGUUAGGGGAUCGAAGACGAUCAGAUACCGUCGUAGUCUUAACCAUAAACUAUGCCGACUAGGGAUCGGAUGAUGUUAAUUUUUUAAUGACUCAUUCGGCGCCUUACGGGAAACCAAAGUGUUUGGGUUC